rnacentral:lncRNA from 1 species
GAUAAUAAACGAAUCAUUUGAUCCAGAGGGAGAAAGUUUCACAUUACACAAAUCAAUCUGUCACAAGACAGAGGAUACGGCAACGAAGAUGAGAGAGAGAGAAGAUCAAUGGUCCCUUUGGGGAAAUUUUAUUGGGAAGAAACAAAAAAAAGACGAGUCAUGAAAAGUACAUUGUGUUGGACAUAGCUCCAUAUGUACUGACACUUAAAGUUGACAUGAUUCAUAAUACACACAUCUCUGUCUUGUUGCUUCCAGAAGUGUUUACUUCCUUGGAGAUUGUGAUCCAUAUGCCGCAUACGUAACCCAUCUCUCUAUCGUUUAUUUCUGGGAUCUCGAUCUUUUGUUAUAUGCAUGUGUAUAAAUAAAUAAAUAAAUAAAUAAAAUAUAUGUAUAUAUAUAUAUAUACGUGAGUGAUCCUUUAUGUUAAAACUCUUUACAAAUUGACUAUUUCCACAAAAAUGUGUUCCGGUGGAUGCAAUUAAUCUUAUCUUUUAAAAUAGAAAUCAUGACUCAUUUUAUGUGUGAUUUAUUUGGACCACUCCUUAGAAAGUUUUUAAAUGAAUUUUGUAUAAAUAUUUGAAUUAUUUAAAUUAUUUUAAAACCAACUAAUCAAAUAGAUAUUCCUUUAUUUUCUCUAAAUUUACAUCUGAACAAAAUCUUUUCAUAUCCUUUUUAUGAUAUAAAUUUAUUCUUUUCACUCAAACAAACAUUUCAUUUUAAUUAUUUAAUUAAUUUUGAAUUUAUUUAAUAUAUAAAUAUAUUUUUCAUUUUUCACUAAAACAAACCCUACAAAUAUUUAUUUUUAAUCGGAUUAGUCUAAAAUAUAAAUAUAUGUUUUAUUUUUCACUAAAAGAAACCUUUUAAUAUCUAAUUAAAUUUGUAAUUAUAAUUAAACUCAUGUACAAUUUUGUAUUAAAUUUACGAUAUUAAUUUAAUAUAAAAAUUUUCAGUUAAAACUACUUGGAUCCCUAACAGAUAUGAUUUUCAAUUUAAAAUUUUGUACUACAACAAUCGGUUUACAAAUGCUAUUUUGAGAGUAUACUUGAUUUGCGUUAUUAAAUAUAGUGAUCGGUUUACUUUAUAUUUUAAUAAUAGGAGUAUAUGAAUACUUUGUGUACAUAAAUGUAAUCAUUCUUAUUUAUAUAUAAACCAAGUUUAUGUAUUAUUCGUUAAUGCAAUUAUUUUUGUUUUUAUCUUGUGCAUUUUUCAAAGUCCAAUAUGUAUUGUACUAAGUUAUAUCCUUAAAUUAAAUGACUGAUGAAUGAUUGAAAAACAUUUCAUGUAAAUAUAUUUAUUUUCAAUCUGUUCAUAACAAAUGUAAUGGUAGGUGUAAAUGUUAAUUAUAUAACGUGAUGUAUCAUAGAUGAAAGAUUGCAAAAAAAAAAAACACCGAAAACUCAUUGCAAAUAAUCCAAGAGUUUUGAAGUAAUAUAACCAAAAGAUAAAAAUCGAAAUCACCAAUAGACAACAAAAUAAACGUCAAUAAAACAUAAAUAGUGUAGAAAAUGCAGAUUUAAAAUGACAAAGAUAAAGACAAACACUAGAAUUUUUGGUUCAACAAUUUAAAUGAAACAAACGUUUUAUGAAUUAGACUAAGUAUAGGUUAGUGAGUCAAAUAUUUAAAUCAUACAAAUAUUUCGAUAUAACAUAUAUGUAUGGCCAAAACCUACAAUAUAGGUUAACAUAUAUGUACGGCCACAAUCUAAAAUACAAGUAGACCCUCAAUGAAAUAUAUAAGUUAGUGUUAAAUUAAGCGUUAUUUUUCCAUUAAUAUAACUUGAGGUUAAUAAGAAAAAUACCACCAACAAUUUAAAAUAAUAAAUUAAGUUACUGCAUGUAAACUAUUAAAUUAUUGUGUGUUUAAAAUGUAAUGUUAAAAUUAUAUAUCCCUAAUCAUUUAAAGCAAUAUGUAUGUGUAUAAAAGUUAAAAUAAUUAUCUGCACGGUUGUGCGGAUGUAGAUCUAGUUAGGGCUUAUUUGAUGUGCACAGUGCACCAGAUGAAACCGACCUGGAAUUCUAUUAGUUACCAAUCUUUUUAGAUUAAACGGCCAACCUUAACGUUUUUGGGGGCCUCGGACAAUUUUUUUCUUUUGACAACACCUAAGGCAUUUUUUUCUUCUCAAAUGAUAUUUUCAUAUAAGAUUUUUGUAUCUUUACAAAGAAAUUAAGAAACAAAACUAGUAGAUAUCAUGAUUCUGUUUAUAAUUAAAGUCUAAAAUCCAAAUUAAAAUAUAGCGAAAAGGAUCUAUAACCAAUCAAACUCAUAUAUACAUUUAUGUAACAUUUAUAACCCUAACUAUUGCAUUGUAUAUAAUAUAUAUAAAUGGGGCCCUAUUUUACAAGGGAUGAGCACGGCUCUGUCCUUAACCAAUGAGUGAUUUGUCAAUGUAAUAACCGGUAUAUGAACCUAGCUUGCCCGGUUAAGAUAAAACUAAUGUAUCAGAAAUAUAACUUUAAGAGCCAACAUAUAUUAUACGAUUUUAACAUGCAUGUUUUUGAAAAGAAAACCUACAUGAUGGGAAAGCUGAAAAUAAAAGGACUAACGCCCAACAAGAUCUUCAAUGUACACAAGCUUUAUGCUUGUAAAAUAUUUGUCUGAUUGAUAGUUCUUGACUUUAGGAUACACUCACAGAAUACACUAUUUAGUCGUUUUGGUUGAAUAUAGAAAGACUUAUAUGAAGAGAUCCACUACUAGAAACCAGAAACCAAGGGUUUAUGUUUCCUGUAAACUCAGAAAUCAAAGCACUCACCUGAGUUAUGAAGUAAAUAUGUCGUAGCAUUCAAUAGUUCAACAUUUCGAAACAGAUUACCAAGAGUUGAUAGUGAUGAAUGAUGAUUCAAAAUCCAAGUGCAUGACAAAGUUUUUCCACGGAGUUAAAAAAAAAAAGAAGCUGAAAGACUAAGAGGACAUUUUCA